rnacentral:lncRNA from 1 species
CCAGUAUAUCCCAGUUCCGUUCCCAGUAUAUCCCAGUAUAACCCAGUUCCAUCCCAGUCCAUCCCAGUAUAACCCAGUUCCAUUCCCAGUAUAACCCAGUUCCAUUCCCAGUAUAUCCCAGUAUAUCCCAGUAUAUCCCAGUAUAUCCCAGUAUAUCCCAGUUCCAUUCCCAGUAUAUCCCAGUAUAUCCCAGUAUAUCCCAGUAUAUCCCAGUAUAUCCCAGUUCCAUCCCAGUAUAUCCCAGUAUAUCCCAGUAUAUCCCAGUAUAACCCAGUUCCAUUCCCAGUCCAUCCCAGUUCCAUUCCCAGUAUAUCCCAGUAUAUCCCAGUAUAUCCCAGUAUAACCCAGUUCCAUUCCCAGUUCCAUUCCCAGUAUAUCCCAGUAUAUCCCAGUAUAUCCCAGUAUAUCCCAGUAUAUCCCAGUGUAACCCCGCUCCGUUCCCAGGCCCGCGGGUCCUUCGCUUGUCACUCGGAGCCCCCGGAGGGGCGGGGCCGGCGCUCGCUGUGCCAGGUGCAGCCGCCGGUGCUGAGGGCGGGGGCGCAGGUGCGUUUCCGGCUCACCCUGGACGUGCCGCCGGACGCCGAACUCGGGGAAACGCUGCAGGUGACGGCGCAGAGCCACAGCACCAAUGGUGGCGCAGGUGGGCGGAGCCAGAGCGCGACCAUCCCGGUCAGGUACCAGGUGUUCCUGGUGAUUGACAGGUGAGCCUGGGGGGAGGAGGGAGAGGGGGAGGGGUCACACCUGUGUGACGUCAUCAGUGUGUCACACCUAUGUGAUGUCACACCUGGGGGAUGUU